GCUACGGGAGGCAGCAGUGGGGAAUAUUGCACAAUGGGCGAAAGCCUGAUGCAGCAACGCCGCGUGAAGGAAGACGGUUUUCGGAUUGUAAACUUCUAUCAAUAGGGAAGAAAGAAAUGACGGUACCUAAAUAAGAAGCCCCGGCUAACUACGUGCCAGCAGCCGCUGUAAUCCGGAGGGGGCAAGCGUUAUCAGGAAUUACUGGGUGUAAAGGGAUAGUAGGUGGCAAGGUAAGCGAUAUGUGAAAGCCUUAAGCUUAACUGAAGGAUUGCAUAACGAACUAUCUAGCUAGAGUACAGGAGAGGAAAGCGGAAUUCCUAGUGUAGCGGUGAAAUGCUUAGAGAUCAGGAAGAACACCAGUGGCGAAGGCGGCUUUCUGGACUGAAACUGACGCUGAGGCUCGAAAGCGUGGGGAGCGAACAGGAUUAGAUACCCCAGUAGUC
rnacentral:rRNA from 1 species